rnacentral:misc_RNA from 1 species
GCGGAAAAAUGAUGGUGGAGGAUCUCGGCGUCGAAGCCAAGGAAGCCGCCGUGCGCGAGGUUGCCAAGCUCUUGCCGUUACCGGAGCUCUUGCAGUCUAUUGCCUCCAUCAAGGCCGAGGCAAAUGAUGCGCAACUCAGUACAAUGGUUGCAGAGCAGGUUGAGCAAGCACAAACUGGAUUGGAAGCACUUGCCUCAUCACAGAAGACAAUAAAUGAGCUUCGUGAGAAC